rnacentral:tRNA from 1 species
UGGGCCGUAGCCAAGUGGUAAGGCAGCGGAUUUUGAUUCCGCCAUGCGAAGGUUCGACCCCUUCCGGCCCAGCAA